UGGAAUGGGUCCAAGACCGGCACUGUUGGUU
rnacentral:piRNA from 1 species